UACGGGGGGAGCAAGCGUUGUUCGGAUUUACUGGGCGUAAAGGGCGCGUAGGCGGCCUCUGCAAGUCGACUGUGAAAUCUCCGGGCUUAACCCGGAACGGUCAGCCGAUACUGCAGGGCUAGAGUGCAGAAGGGGCAACUGGAAUUCUCGGUGUAGCGGUGAAAUGCGUAGAUAUCGAGAGGAACACCUGCGGCGAAGGCGGGUUGCUGGGCUGACACUGACGCUGAGGCGCGAAAGCUAGGGUAGCAAACGGG
rnacentral:rRNA from 1 species